GAUGAACGCUGGCGGCGUGCCUAAUACAUGCAAGUCGAGCGAACAGACGAGGAGCUUGCUCCUCUGACGUUAGCGGCGGACGGGUGAGUAACACGUGGAUAACCUACCUAUAAGACUGGGAUAACUUCGGGAAACCGGAGCUAAUACCGGAUAAUAUAUUGAACCUCAUGGUUCAAUAGUGAAAGACGGUUUUGCUGUCACUUAUAGAUGGAUCCGCGCCGCAUUAGCUAGUUGGUAAGGUAACGGCUUACCAAGGCAACGAUGCGUAGCCGACCUGAGAGGGUGAUCAGCCACACUGGAACUGAGACACGGUCCAGACUCCUACGGGAGGCAGCAGUAGGGAAUCUUCCGCAAUGGGCGAAAGCCUGACGGAGCAACGCCGCGUGAGUGAUGAAGGUCUUCGGAUCGUAAAACUCUGUUAUUAGGGAAGAACAAAUGUGUAAGUAACUAUGCACGUCUUGACGGUACCUAAUCAGAAAGCCACGGCUAACUACGUG
rnacentral:rRNA from 1 species